rnacentral:rRNA from 1 species
UAAUACGUAGGGUGCGAGCGUUAAUCGGAAUUACUGGGCGUAAAGCGUGCGCAGGCGGUUUUGUAAGACAGGCGUGAAAUCCCCGGGCUCAACCUGGGAAUUGCGCUUGUGACUGCAAGGCUAGAGUGCGUCAGAGGGGGGUAGAAUUCCACGUGUAGCAGUGAAAUGCGUAGAGAUGUGGAGGAAUACCGAUGGCGAAGGCAGCCCCCUGGGACGUGACUGACGCUCAUGCACGAAAGCGUGGGGAGCAAACAGGAUUAGAUACCCUGGUAGUCCACGCCCUAAACGAUGUCAACUAGUUGUUGGGGAUUCAUUUCCUCAGUAACGUAGCUAACGCGUGAAGUUGACCGCCUGGGGAGUACGGUCGCAAGAUUA